UACGUAGGGACCAAGCGUUGUUCGGAUUUACUGGGCGUAAAGGGCGCGUAGGCGGCUUAACAAGUCACUUGUGAAAUCUCCGGGCUUAACUCGGAACGGCCAAGUGAAACUGUUAUGCUAGAGUGCAGAAGGGGCAAUCGGAAUUCUUGGUGUAGCGGUGAAAUGCGUAGAUAUCAAGAGGAACACCUGAGGUGAAGACGGGUUGCUGGGCUGACACUGACGCUGAGGCGCGAAAGCCAGGGGAGCAAACGGG
rnacentral:rRNA from 1 species